GUAGUCAGCUGUUAAUUUUCUUUUUAUUAAAAAAAUAUAUAUAAUCUGUGCUCUUGGUAAAAAUUCAAAUCGUUAUGGAAUUGUGCAAAGUAAAAGCUGCCAGUUCUUCACUCCCCGCCCACAGUCCCCUUCUGUUUCAGAGGUAACCUCUGCCGGGGAGACUGGUUUUUAGUGGAAAGUUUUGGGAACCUGACAGGUCUGACCGGUUUCUCCCCCCACUUGAGCUGGGGCCACCACGGGCAGCUCUCAGUGACCUGUGGCUGAGAUCUUAUGUGUCCUUCAGCCCCAGGUCCCUCUCAGAGCUGUCUGUGCCCCUUCCUCUAUGCCCGGGUGGCCAGCACCAGUCAGGUCGGCUCCACAGCAGCAGAGUCUGACUGUUGCCAGUGACUUCACCUCUCUGACCUGCAGUCUCUUCAUCAGUCUCUUACUUGUUACUCUUCAUCCUUGCUGCCAGGGUGGUCAUGAGGGCUGACUGAGGAACAGGCUGUGCACACGCAGCUCAGGACCUUGUGAGAGCAUCAGGCCUGCCAACAACCCCAUGGUACAACAAGAAAAUGGCUGUGCUGGAGCCCUGGACGCCGGAAAUCUGAGAUGAAGGUGCCGGCAGGGCCCUGCCCGCUCUGAAGUCUCUGGGGGAAGCUUCUUUGCCUCUUCCAGCUUCUGGUGGCUCCACGCACUGCUGGGCUCGUGGCUGCCUCCCUCUGGUCUCUGCCCCGGUCUGCACGUGGCCUUCCCUGCGUGUUUCUGUGUCCUUGCUGCUGCUUAGAAGCACAGCAGCCAUUGGAUUAGGACCCACUCUCAUCCAGCAUGGCCUCAUCUUAACUCAUUACGUCUACAAAAUCUCCAUUUCCAAAUAAGGUCCCAUUCUGGGGUCCUGAGUGGACACGGCGGGGACACCAUCAACCCAUCCUAAGGCCUUCUUGGGCAGCCUCAGGGGGAAGCCGGACCAGCCUUAAGUGAAAGUGGAGGGUUCCAAGGAUCCUACAAAGGGGCCCUGACCCAGUCGGUGGGCAGCAGGGGACAGAGUGGACGUGGAACUUGUAGACAGACAGAACGAUGCACAGGACUCACCCCCACCACCAGAGGUCUGUGUGCAGAGACGACAGAGGGCAGCGUCCCUCCCACUGCCCAUCACCCAUGGAGUGUGGAAAAUCCCGGUCAAGACAGCAGCCCGGGCCGUGAAAUCGAAUCUGGGGGUCCCAAGCAUCGGCGUUUGUGCAGCUCUCGGUGGUUCCAAAGUCAGCCAAGAUCUCGGUUCUGGGCCGCCAGGGGCUCUGGAGUCAGACACCUCGUGUCUAAGUCUCCACCAGUUACUGACCGAGCGACCUCAGCAGUACGUUCACCGCUCCGGGUGUCCCUGUCCCCUGUGGAUGGCAUCAUUGCCUCCCUUAUGGAGAUGAGAAGAAUCAAACGGGAACGUUGGCUCCGUGCCUGUCACGAGGGAAGUGCUUGAUAGACGGUGCCCUUCUGCGCCACGUAGAGAGAAAACCGAGGGAGCCUCAUUUAAACUGCAGGCCUGGGAAGGCCUGUGGACUUUCAGGGAAGCUGAGAAGGGGCCCUGGCACCGGUCUGCAUGCCAGCUGGGCAGGGCAGGGUGAGCCUGGUGCAUAUACCUGGGGCCACACAGCAGGGCCUCAUGCUUCUUUUUUGGACCCACUUGACGGAUGGGGAGACUGAGUUCAGAGAGGCCAAGUGGCUUGCCAGGGUCACGCAGCUGAUACACAGCAAAUGGAUUUUAAACCCACCUGACCGCAAUUCCAAGCAUUGUUUUCUUGGGUCAAACCUUGGGAGCUCAAAGGGUGAUCCUGACCUGUGAUGGCUCCAUUUUAUGCAGAAUAUUUUGUUUUGUUUUUUAAUUUGCCUGUUUACUCUAAUGUUCCCAGUCGUUUUCCUCCCAGGGAUCCUCACUCACAAGUGGACUCUGACGGCCUCGGGGGCUCAGAUUUCACAAUCGGCUAAGGCUAACAUAAGGCCUUCCAGGUUACAAGGCUGAAAGUUAUUUUCCAUCAUUCAUUUGUUCACUUUACAUAACAUGCACCUAUUGAGCACCUGCUGUAUACUGGGAACCAAGUUAAACACCAGGUUUGCAGAGGUGGACAAGGCCCUGUUCCUGCCUCCAGGGUCUCCAACCCAUCAGGAGACGCAGGCCCUUUGACAGACACUGGUGAUAAAAUGACAGUGGAGGUCUGUUCAAGAUACAGAAAUGGGAUUUUGCCCUGUUAACCAGACUGGUCUUGAACUCCUGACCUCAAGUGAUCCUCCCGCCUCAACCUCCCAAAGUGCUGGGAUUACAGGCCUGAACCACUGUGCCUGGCCCGAAUUGGUCUCUUUCUGAGAGCUGGGACUUCUCCUCUGCUGCCUUGGACAUUAGAAAUUUGACUCCAUGGAGCUGCAUUACCAUAUGCUGACUGUGUGUGUAAGCAUUGGACAUGUAUGGAAAAACAUCGAAACUUCCUCAGUAAACGAACAGGUGCACUUUAUGUAUGACUGUACGUGUGAAAGGUAAAAUUUCUUCAGAGCUCGGCUUUUUGGGUGACUGCCUAGGCUGUCAUGACCCAUCAUGGUUUUUAAAAUUUUUCUUUUUAUUUUUUUGAGACAGAGUCUUACUCUGUCAUCCAGGCUGGAGUGCGAUGGCGUGAUCUCGCUCACUGCAACCUCUGCCUCCUGGGUUCAAGCGAAUCUCCUGCCUCAGCCUCACGAGAAGCUGAGAUUACAGGUGCCCGCCACCACGCCCAGCUAAUUUUUGUAUUUUAAUAGAGAUGGGGUUUCACCAUGUUGGUCAGGCUGGUCUCGAACUCCUGACCUCAAAUGGUCUGCUUGCCUCGGCCUCCCAACGUGCUGGGAUUACAGGUGUGUGUGUGAGCCACUGCGCCCAGCCCCAUCAUGGUUUUUGAUAGAUCUUGUGAAAGACUUAGGUUGUCCGUCAGGGUAUUUCAGAUGACCGCAGUUAUAAAGCUGAGUGCAUACAAUUACCAGCCAUGCUUAAUUACCAGCCACAGUGAUGUGUGCUUAUACCUUUCACUUUUUUGUCUGCUCAUAACUGUCAUACCCUCAUGAUUGCUGCUAGCAUACCUGUUUAUGCUUGCAAAUAUAUGUAUGUCAUUUUUGCCUAUUUCAUUGUAUAAAAUGGCCUAUGAAGUGUUCUGUCAUGUUUUUAUGUUUCUCAUGUAAAUCUCCUGUUAAAAAUGUAAAUACAUUUUUUAAAUAACUUUGAAAAAUUAUU
rnacentral:lncRNA from 10 species